GAUGAACGCUAGCGGCAGGCCUAAUACAUGCAAGUCGAACGAGAUUAAGAGGCUUGCUUCUUAUGAAAGUGGCGCACGGGUGCGUAACGCGUAUGCAACCUACCUUAAUCAGGGGGAUAGCCCGAAGAAAUUCGGAUUAAGACCGCAUAAAAACACAGGAUAGCAUUAUCCAAUGUUCAAAUAUUUAUAGGAUUAAGAUGGGCAUGCGUGUCAUUAGCUAGUUGGCGGGGUAACGGCCCACCAAGGCGACGAUGACUAGGGGAUCUGAGAGGAUGACCCCCCACACUGGUACUGAGACACGGACCAGACUCCUAUGGGAGGCAGCAGUAAGGAAUAUUGGUCAAUGGAGGGAACUCUGAACCAGCCAUGCCGCGUGCAGGAAGACAGCCCUCUGGGUCGUAAACUGCUUUUAUUCGGGAAUAAACCUUUCUACGUGUAGGAAGCUGAAUGUACCGAAGGAAUAAGGAUCGGCUAACUCCGUG
rnacentral:rRNA from 1 species